CCUACGGGUGGCAGCAGUGAGGAAUAUUGGUCAAUGGGCGUAAGCCUGAACCAGCCACGUCGCGUGAGGGAUGAAGGUCCUAUGGAUCGUAAACCUCUUUUAUAAGGAAAUAAAGUGCGGGUCGUGUCUCGUUUUGUAUUUACGUUAUGAAUACGGAUCGGCUAACUCCGUGCCAGCCGCCGCGGUAAUACGGAGGAUCCGAGCGUUAUCUGGAUCUAUUGGGUUUAAAGGGUGCGUAGGCGGCCUUUUAAGUCAGCGGUGAAAGUCUGUGGCUCAACCAUAGAAUUGCUGUUGAAACUGGGAGGCUUGAGUAUGUUAGAGGCAGGCGGAAUGCGUGGUGUAGCGGUGAAAUGCUUAGAUAUCAGGAAGAACCCCGAUGGCGAAGGCAGCCUGCCAAGCCAUGACUGACGCUGAUGCACGAAAGCGUGGGGAUCAAACAGGAUUAGAUACCCUGGUAGUC
rnacentral:rRNA from 1 species